rnacentral:rRNA from 1 species
AGUGAACGCUGGCGGUAGGCCUAACACAUGCAAGUCGAACGGCAGCACAGUAAGAGCUUGCUCUUACGGGUGGCGAGUGGCGGACGGGUGAGGAAUACAUCGGAAUCUACUUUUUCGUGGGGGAUAACGUAGGGAAACUUACGCUAAUACCGCAUACGACCUACGGGUGAAGGCAGGGGAUCUUCGGACCUUGCGCGAUUGAAUGAGCCGAUGUCGGAUUAGCUAGUUGGCGGGGUAAAGGCCCACCAAGGCGACGAUCCGUAGCUGGUCUGAGAGGAUGAUCAGCCACACUGGAACUGAGACACGGUCCAGACUCCUACGGGAGGCAGCAGUGGGGAAUAUUGGACAAUGGGCGCAAGCCUGAUCCAGCCAUACCGCGUGGGUGAAGAAGGCCUUCGGGUUGUAAAGCCCUUUUGUUGGGAAAGAAAAGCAGCAGGUUAAUACCCCGAUGUUCUGACGGUACCCAAAGAAUAAGCACCGGCUAACUUCGUG